rnacentral:misc_RNA from 1 species
GAUGAAGAACGUAGCGAAAUGCGAUAAGUAAUGUGAAUUGCAGAAUUCAGUGAAUCAUCGAAUCUUUGAACGCACCUUGCGCUCCUUGGUAUUCCGAGGAGCAUGCCUGUUUGAGUGUCAUUAAUAUAUCAACCUUCUCUUUUUUGAGUUGUUUGGAUGUGGGGGUUUGCUGGCCUCUUAAAUGAUUCAGCUCCCCUGAAAUGCAUUAGCAGAACAACCUGUUCAUUGGCGUGAUAAUUAUCUAUGCUAUUGAAUGUGAGGGCAGUUCAGCUUUCUAACCGUCCUUGGACAAUUCAUCAUUAAUGUGACCUCAAAUCAGGUAGGACUACCCGCUGAACUUAAGCAUAUCAUAAGCGGAGGA